rnacentral:lncRNA from 1 species
AGUCCCGGCUAGGGACACAGCUCUUAGACUUUGAGCUAGACAACCAGGAGGACAGGAGGACCUAGUAUCCUGCCUCCAUCAGCCCAUCAUUUAUGCAAAUGCUACUUAGUUGCCGUCUAGAUGCAGGAUGCUGUCUGCCCUGUUAAAUGCUGUGUGAACCCAGAUGGAAGCUGAGCAGACAUCACACUCGUGAGCAGCUCCCCUUCCUAUGUUAUACGACCUCGUUCGCUGAAGUCAAAGAUGCAGAGGGGCCAAGGUGUGGGCUCCGGACCUCACACCAGUGUGGCAGAUUCAACAAGCCCAGAAUAAGCCUCUUCCUUUGCUCACAAUAAGAUUUAUUAUAGAAGCAACAACUUCUGCAUACCAGAGGUGAGAGAUGCAGCAAUCCUCUCCGUGCUCAUGAAGCUUAAAAUUUGGGGGAGAAAGUAGAGAAAAAUUAAGCCAACUGCCUCUUCAUUCCUCAGUCACACUCCUCCUCUGACCCUGCUCCAGGAGGCUCAUCUUGUCAGACUUCACACUGAAUGAGCGCUGAGGAUGCUGUAGAGUAUGAGCUGUGUGCAGGUGAUAGCAGUGGAAAGAAGACUAAGACAGACUCCAUCUAGAAACCAGAAUGACCUCUUUUAUGGAAAAAGAGACUGUAUCACUCGUGUUUCUACCCACAAAAACCUCCACUGUGAGCUCUCUCUCACCUAGGCAGGAGUCUGCAUGGCCCCGCUCUUGCCACAUCGCCAACCCCAGCCUUUGUCACUCUCUCAUAACCACUCUGUCCCUGUACAGAUACAUGAUCUGUUCCUCCCACACAUCAGCUCUUCCUGACGCUGGGCCUUUGCAUAUGUUCUUCUGCCUCAUGCCUUUCCUCCUCUUCCUGCAGGAUUGCUAUCUUCUGGUCCUGUACUCCUCAAGCUCAAAGGCCAACGUCCUGGCAUUUGUGUGACGGCUUUUGCCCUACCCUGCAGAAUUUGCAAUAGGCAGUCUCUACAUGUACUCAGGGCCCAGUGGGCAUUCAACAUGUUCAUUGAAUGACAA